AUGGCAGAGGAGCUGUGGGGGCAGAAGCCACCUUCAAGGCCCUUGGCUGCUCAGCUGUGCAGUGGGGUCACGGCACGGCCUCCCAGAAGGAACUGGGGGCCCAGCCUGUGUCCCUGCUUCGGAAACCCAGCCCAGGAAGGACCCCCUUAUCUUGCUGGCCCUGAGGGGGCAGACCACGUGGCAGAGUCUCUUCUCCAGCAUCUGAGGGCUCUGUGGAGCCGGUGUCACCACAGUCCGUACAGAUCUGCCCGCGGCCUCCUGGGCUGCUGGGCGCAGCCCACCCUCUCAGGGAGGGUGAGGCACUGGGUGACCCUGGGUGUGGGGUCAGGGUCCCUCUCCACCCUGGCCUCAGACUCAGCCCUGCCUGCGCUGGUCUGUCUCCACUCACCCCCAAGUUUCUCCGGAAGCCACAUCCAGCUGCCUGGGCCAGGAGUGGCCCCUUCUUGCCAAGCUUGCCUGCCCUGCCUCAUUCCCCACCAGGACCCCCAGUCCUGCUGCGGGCGAGCUGGGCUUAUUGUGCCCCGGCAGCCCCACCCCCGGGCGGCUGCUGCUGCUGGGCAGGGCCCACUGUCCUUCCUCAGCUUGGCACAGACGCCGACUCGGGAGGGUGGGGUGGCCAGGGCCCUGGACUCUCCCAUGUCUGCGGGAUGGUUUUGCCACACGGGCCUGGUACUCAGGAGGCCCCCCUUCCACAUGGGGGUCUCGUCUCACCCACUCCGGGGCCCACGUCUGUUUGGCGGUGAGCACUGGUCAUCCUGGCUGAGCGUCCUGGGGCAGGUAGGCGCUGGGUCACGGGCAGUGGGUCCAGGACUAGCUGGAGAGGCGAGACGCAGGCUGGCCCCACUGCCCCUCCCAUCCCCUGGGGUGCAGAGAUGGCGGCAGUGGGGGGGGGGGAACGGUGCAGUCCAGGCUCCCAGGGGUGGCUGGGCCAGAGCUGUGGCUCUCCCACCUUCGAGGGGAAAGGAUCCCAUAAACAGCAAAAGGCAGUGGCAGGGAGUAAAGCCGGGGAAGCCCUGGGGUCUUUCUUAUCAUGGGUCGGGGCUCAGGGGACCCACGGGCUGUGGCGUCUCCAAUGAGCAGAUCUCCCGAAAACAGCGGGUCUCCCAGGCAGCCUGGUGCAGCCCGGCUUCGUCCCCACACCCAGCGGCCCUGGCAGCUCCCUGUCUCUCUCUGGGCCCUAGGUGUCCGGGUCUGUCGCUGACAUCUGGCCCCCAGUGA
rnacentral:lncRNA from 1 species